UCAAGCAGAAAGGGCACAAGGCGGAUGCCUUGGCUCCGGGAAGCGAAGAAGGACGCGGCCAGCUGCGAUAAGCCUCGGGGAGGAGCAAACAUCCUUUGAUCCGGGGAUUUCCGAAUGGGGCAACCCGCACGGGUGUUGAGCCCGUGCACUGACAUCUGAAUACAUAGGGUGUCAGGGCGAACCCAGGGAACUGAAACAUCUCAGUACCUGGAGGAAGAGAAAUCAACCGAGAUUCCCUCAGUAGCGGCGAGCGAACGGGGAUAAGCCCAAACCGUCGGGUGCGCCCGGCGGGGUUGUAGGACCGUCAACAAAGUGGAGUAAGAAGGUUAGCUGAAGUGUCUGAGAAGGCACGGCAUAGAGGGUUAGACCCCCGUAGGCGAAAACCGGAUGACCUGUGAGACGGCACCUGAGUAGGGCGGGACACGUGGAACCCCGUCUGAAUCUGGGGGGACCUCCCUCCAAGGCUAAAUAUUACCCGGAGACCGAUAGUGAACCAGUACCGUGAGGGAAAGGUGAAAAGCACCUCGAACAGAGGAGUGAAAUAGUUCCUGAAACCUUGUGUCUACAAGCAGUGGAAGCCCUUCGGGGCGACCGCGUGCCUUUUGCAUAAUGAGCCAACGAGUUGUCCGUCGGCGGCCAGGUUAAGCCUCUGGUGUAGCCGUAGCGAAAGCGAGUCUGAAUAGGGCAUUCAGUCGCCGGCGACAGACCCGAAACCGAGUGAUCUAUCCCUGUCCAGGUUGAAGCCUGGGUAAGACCAGGUGGAGGACCGAACCAAUGUGCCUUAAAAAGUGCUUGGAUGAGGUGGGGAUAGGAGUGAAAGGCUAAUCAAACUCGGAGAUAGCUGGUUCUCCCCGAAACCUAUUUAGGUAGGGCCUCGUGGUAGGCCGCCGGAGGUAGAGCACUGGAUGGACUAGGGCCCCCACCAGGGUACCAAACCCAACCAAACUACGAAUGCCGGUAAGUCGUUCCGCGGGAGUCAGACGGCGGGAGCUAACUUUCGUCGUCGAAAGGGAAACAACCCAGACCGUCAGCUAAGGCCCCCAAGUCAUGGCUAAGUGGGAAAGGAAGUGGGAACGCCCAGACAACCAGGAGGUUAGCUUAGAAGCAGCUACCCUUUAAAGAAAGCGUAAUAGCUCACUGGUCAAGCGGGCCUGCACCGAAAAUAUAACGGGGCUUAAGCCAUGCGCCGAAGCUGCGGAUCGUCCUUCGGGACGAUGGUAGGGGAGCGUUCCCCGUGCGGAGAAGCUGUGGUGUGAACCAUGGUGGAGCGCGGGGAAGUGAGGAUGUUGGCAUGAGUAACGAAAAUGCGGGCGAGAAACCCGCACGCCGAAAGUCCAAGGGUUCCUGGGCCAGGUUAAUCCGCCCAGGGUUAGUCGGCACCUAAGGCGAGGCCGAAAGGCGUAGUCGAAGGAAAACCGGUUCAUAUUCCGGUACUUGCGGUGACGCGUGAUGGAGGGACGCAGGAGGAUAGGUCGGCCGGGUGAUGGAUGUCCCGGUUUAAGGCGGUAGCCGGAAGCUCUAGGCAAAUCCGGAGCUUCAACGGCGAGAGCUGAUGACGAGAGGCUUUGCCUCACAAAGCGAUUGAUUCCACACUGCCAAGAAAAGCUUCUAAGCAUAGUCACGGCAAACCGUACCCCAAACCGACACAGGUGGACAGGUAGAGAAUACCAAGGCGCUUGAGAGAAACCAUGUUAAGGAACUCUGCAAAUUAACUCCGUACCUUUGGAAGAAGGAGUGCCCACAAAGUGAAGGGGCUUGCCCCCGGAGCUUAGCUGGGUCGCAGUGACCAGGCCUGGCCGACUGUUUAGCAAAAACAUAGCACUCUGCAAACUCGCAAGAGGAAGUAUAGGGUGUGACGCCUGCCCGGUGCCGGAAGGUUAACAGGAGAGGUCAGCUUACGCGAAGCCUCGAAUCGAAGCCCCGGUAAACGGCGGCCGUAACUAUAACGGUCCUAAGGUAGCGAAAUUCCUUGUCGGGUAAGUUCCGACCUGCACGAAUGGCGUAACGAUCCGGGCGCUGUCUCAACGUGGUUCUCAGUGAAAUUGAAAUAGCGGUGAAGAUACCGUUAACCCGCAGCAAGACGGAAAGACCCCGUGAACCUUUACUGCAGCUUGGCAGUGGAUUCGGGAAGAGCUUGUGUAGGAUAGGUGGGAGGGUGGGAUCCUCUAGAGUCGACCUGCAGGCAUGCAAGCUUGAGUA
rnacentral:rRNA from 1 species